GAUUGAACGCUGGCGGUAUGCUUAACACAUGCAAGUCGAACGGAAACGAUACUAGCUUGCUAGUAGGCGUCGAGUGGCGGACGGGUGAGUAACGCGUAGGAAUCUGCCUGAUAGUGGGGGAUAGCCCGAAGAAAUUCGGAUUAAUACCGCAUAAUCUAUUCGUAGUAAAGUGGGGGACUUUCGAGCCUCACGCUAUCAGAUGAGCCUGCGUAAGAUUAGCUUGUUGGUAGGGUAAAAGCCUACCAAGGCAACGAUCUUUAGCUGGUCUGAGAGGAUGAUCAGCCACAUCGGGACUGAGACACGGCCCGAACUCCUACGGGAGGCAGCAGUGGGGAAUAUUGGACAAUGGGGGCAACCCUGAUCCAGCAAUACCGCGUGUGUGAAGAAGGCCUGAGGGUUGUAAAGCACUUUCAAUUGUGAAGAAAUGUUAACGGUUAAUAACCGUUAGCCUUGACGUUAACUUUAGAAGAAGCACCGGCUAACUCCGUGCCAGCAGCCGCGGUAAUACGGAGGGUGCAAGCGUUAAUCGGAAUUACUGGGCGUAAAGCGUGCGUAGGCGGUUUAUUAAGUCAGAUGUGAAAGCCCCCGGGCUUAACCUGGGAACUGCAUUUGAAACUGGUCAACUAGAGUAUGGUAGAGGAAAGUGGAAUUUCUGGUGUAGCGGUGAAAUGCGUAGAUAUCAGAAGGAACAUCAAUGGCGAAGGCAGCUUUCUGGACCAAUACUGACGCUGAGGUACGAAAGCGUGGGUAGCAAACAGGAUUAGAUACCCUGGUAGUCCACGCCGUAAACGAUGAUAACUAGCCGUUGGGGGGAUUUACCCUUUAGUGGCGAAGCUAACGCGUUAAGUUAUCCGCCUGGGGAGUACGGCCGCAAGGUUAAAACUCAAAGGAAUUGACGGGGACCCGCACAAGCGGUGGAGCAUGUGGUUUAAUUCGAUGCAACGCGAAGAACCUUACCUGGUCUUGACAUCCUGCGAACUUUCUAGAAAUAGAUUGGUGCCUUCGGGAACGCAGUGACAGGUGCUGCAUGGCUGUCGUCAGCUCGUGUCGUGAGAUGUUGGGUUAAGUCCCGUAACGAGCGCAACCCCUAUCCUUAUUUGCCAGCACGUCAUGGUGGGAACUAUAAGGAGACUGCCGGUGAUAAACCGGAGGAAGGCGGGGACGACGUCAAGUCAUCAUGGCCCUUACGACCAGGGCUACACACGUGCUACAAUGGGAAGGACAAAGAGCCGCGAAGCCGCGAGGUGUAGCUAAUCUCAGAAACCUUUUCGUAGUCCGGAUUGGAGUCUGCAACUCGACUCCAUGAAGUCGGAAUCGCUAGUAAUCGUAGAUCAGAAUGCUACGGUGAAUACGUUCCCGGGUCUUGUACUCACCGCC
rnacentral:rRNA from 1 species